AACGAACGCUGGCGGCAUGCCUAACACAUGCAAGUCGAACGGCAGCACGGACUUCGGUCUGGUGGCGAGUGGCGAACGGGUGAGUAAUAUAUCGGAACAUACCCUAGAGUGGGGGAUAACGUAGCGAAAGUUACGCUAAUACCGCAUACGAACUAAGGUUGAAAGCGGGGGAUCUUCGGACCUCGUGCUCAUGGAGUGGCCGAUAUCUGAUUAGCUAGUUGGUGAGGUAAAGGCUCACCAAGGCGACGAUCAGUAGCUGGUUUGAGAGAACGACCAGCCACACUGGAACUGAGACACGGUCCAGACUCCUACGGGAGGCAGCAGUGGGGAAUUUGGACAAUGGGCGCGAAGCCUAGAUACCAGCAAUGCCGCGUGAGUGAAGAAGGCC
rnacentral:rRNA from 1 species